UGUUGUUUUAUUGUUUUCUCUGUACUGAUUUUCUUUUUAUUUAUUUUUAAUACACAUUGCUUCCUUUAUCAUAUUGGGAGAGAAAAAUCAGAGCAAAAAGGAAAAAAUCAUGGAUGAGAAGAAAAAACAAACAGAAAAAAAGAAGUAAACAUAGAUUGUGCUGCUUUACAUUCACUCUCCAUACUUCUUUUUCUAGAUGUAGAUGGCAUUUUCUGUCCAAAGCCUAUUGGGAUUGUCUUGGAUCACUGAAUUACUGAGAAGUACCAAGUCUUUCAUACUUGAUCAUCAUACAUUCUUGUUGUGUAUAAUGUAUUCCUGGUUCUGCUUGUUUCACUCAGCAUCAGUUUUUUGUAAAUCUUUCCAGGCCUUUCUAAAAUCAUUUUGUUCAUCAUUUUUUAUAGACUAAAUAUUCCAUUAUCUUCAUAUACCACAACUUAUUCAGCCAUUCUCCAACUUAUUAUGGGCCAGAACUUGAAACAAGGUGCCAAGUCAGUGGAAUUGAUAGAGACAAUGGUUAUUUAGUAUGGUGCUUAAUCUCUCUAGUUCAGUACAUGUACUUAAUACUUACUAUAGUUCUAUAAGAUUCACACCUUUGAUAAGAGAGCAUAUAUAAGCUAGGAGCCUCAGCCAGGAAUCAGUCAGGGAGAUUCAGAAGCCAGAGAAGGCAGGCGGAUGACAACAAAAAAAGGUGAAAAUACUUUGCUUUGAUCCAUGCUCAAUCUCCAUAGUUCUUUUUCUGGAUGAAGAUGGCACUUUCCAUCAAUAGUAUUGGAAUUGCCUUGAAUCAUUUUGUUGUUGAAAAGAACCAAGUCCAUCACAGUUGAUCAUGUGACAGUAGAUUUGUAUUUGUAAAUCCUUCUACCAAUGCAGUCAGGCAUUUUUCAAGUUAUAGUAUCUUGCCCUGCAGAGCCCUGAGAGCUAAAUGUUUUGCCCUAGAUCUCACAGGCAGCAGGUGACCAAGAAGCAUUCUGAAAUCAAUUUUUAAAAAAUUGGGCUCAUGGCUCUCUGUUUUAUAGAAACUAUUUUGUUGUUGUCUUUGUUUUUUUUUCCCCUGGCUUGACCCAGUGAGAGUAUGGCACAAAUUA
rnacentral:lncRNA from 1 species